rnacentral:lncRNA from 1 species
UAAUUUUUCUGUAAGUGAUUUAUCUUCUUACAACGUUGGCAAGGAGGAAAAUCUCCAGUUUUCUUGUUGUUGUUAUUACCAUCACCUUUGUUAUUUUUUUGUUCUUCUUCUUGCCUUUGUCACCUUUUUGGAUUUGCAUUUUAGCUUGGAAAGCUCUUUCCAGCGAACCUUCUUGCUUCAUUUGUUUUCUUUGUUUUUGAGCCUGUAGAGCAUUUAACAAUUCUGUCAAGGUAAUUUUUGACAGACUUCUUGAGUUUUUUAUAGAGGUAAUUACAGCUUUAAAUUUCUCAAGGGUUG